UACAGAGGGGCAAGCGUUGUCCGGAUUUAUUGGCGUAAAGAGCGUGUAGGCGGCCAGGUAGGUCUGGUGUGAAAACUCGAGGCUCAACCUCGAGAGGUCAUCGGAACCAUCUGGCUAGAGUCCGGAAGAGGAGAGUGGAAGUUCCCGGUGUAGCGGUGAAAGUGCGCAGAUAGUCGGGAAGAACGACCUAUGGCGGAAGGCAG
rnacentral:rRNA from 1 species